GACUCUCGGCAACGGAUAUCUCGGCUCACGCAUCGAUGAAGAACGUAGCAAAAUGCGAUACUUGGUGUGAAUUGCAGAAUCCCGUGAACCAUCGAGUUUUUGAACGCAAGUUGCGCCCGAAGCCUUUCGGUCGAGGGCACGUCUGCCUGGGCGUCACAU
rnacentral:rRNA from 1 species